CCAAGGGUGCGCGGCGGCGGCGGCGCGGGGGCGCCCAGCACCUGGCGGACAACCGGCUCAAGACCACCAAGUACACUCUACUGUCCUUCCUGCCCAAGAACCUGUUCGAGCAGUUCCACCGCCUGGCCAACGUGUACUUUGUCUUCAUCGCGCUGCUCAACUUCGUGCCGGCGGUGAACGCCUUCCAGCCCGGCCUGGCGCUGGCGCCCGUGCUCUUCAUCCUGGCCGUCACGGCCUUCAAGGACCUGUGGGAGGACUACAGCCGCCACCGCUCGGACCACGAGAUCAACCACCUGGGCUGCCUCGUCUUCAGCAGGUGGCUCUUUCCUGGCCUUGGAUAGUUUCCUCACAUGCAGCACUGAUCAAGUCUCAGCUGAGAACUCAAGGGGGACCCUCUGCUGCCCUCCAUUGUGCUUUCUCUCAAUUUUCCCCAUCCAGUGGGUUGUUUUUUGUUUUUUUUUAAUCUCAGACUUUGUAGUUUUCAACUCUGGAAGUUUGAUUUGGGUCUUUAUUUUUUUAAAUCUUUUGUGUAGCUUCUUGAACACAUGGAUUACAGUUAUCACAACUGGACAGCUCUCCCCUAUCUGGCACUCUGCCCUGCAAACUGCAGCUUUCUUGGCUUCUCUGGACCCUCAGCUCCAUCCCCUCUACUUAGAGAGACCUUGUUCCCUGUCCCAUCUGCAGCCCAGCAACUUUCUCCAGACAAUAUAGUGGGGCAGGUGUGAGGCUCACCUUGUUUAUUCCCCUCUCCUUCGGUCCUUGUGGUCCAGUGUUGGAAAACCAUUUUUUAAAAAUGUAUUUUGUUCCAGUUUCUUACUUGUUUCACAGAGGAAGGUAAACCCUGUACCUUUAUUCCAUCUUGGUCAGAAGUGGGAAUUUGCGGUUAUUUUUGAAAAUGGAAUUAUAGUUUCUCGAAAAAUCUUCUCUAAAAAUGCAACUCAGAGAUUAA